rnacentral:sRNA from 1 species
UCUAUUUAGGUCCCUUAUCCUUCCUUGC